rnacentral:rRNA from 1 species
UGAGUGAAUAAGGCUCAAUAGUUAAGUGAUAAUUGCCUAGGAGAUACACCUGUUCUCAUGCCGAACACAGAAGUUAAGCCCUAGAACGCCGGAAGUAGUUGGGGGUUGCCCCCUGUGAGAUAAGGUAGUCGCUUAGCUAUAAUCCGCCAUAGCUCAGUUGGU